rnacentral:rRNA from 1 species
UACGUAGGGUGCGAGCGUUGCCCGGAUUUAUUGGGCGUAAAGAGCGUGUAGGCGGCCCGGUAAGUCCGCUGUGAAAGUCCAGGGCUCAACCCUGGGAUGCCGGUGGAUACUGUCGGGCUCGAGUCCGGAAGAGGAGUGUGGAAUUCCUGGUGUAGCGGUGAAAUGCGCAGAUAUCAGGAGGAACACCAAUGGCGAAGGCAGCACUCUGGGACGUGACUGACGCUGAGACGCGAAAGCGUGGGGAGCGAACAGG